rnacentral:tRNA from 1 species
GCCCCCGUAGCUCAACAGGAAAGAGCAACGGCCCGCUAAGUCGAAGGUUGCUGGUUCGAGUCCAGCCGGGGGCACCA